CCUACGGGAGGCAGCAGUGGGGGAUAUUGCACAAUGGGGGGAACCCUGAUGCAGCGACGCCGCGUGGGUGAAGAAGCGCCUCGGCGCGUAAAGCCCUGUCAGCAGGGAAGAAAAUGACGGUACCUGAAGAAGAAGCCCCGGCUAACCACGUGCCAGCAGCCGCGGUAAUACGUAGGGGGCAAGCGUUAUCCGGAUUUACUGGGUGUAAAGGGGGCGCAGACGGCGAUGCAAGCCAGGAGUGAAAGCCCGGGGCCCAACCCCGGGACUGCUCUUGGAACUGCGUGGCUGGAGUGCAGGAGGGGCAGGCGGAAUUCCUGGUGUAGCGGUGAAAUGCGUAGAUAUCAGGAGGAACACCGGUGGCGAAGGCGGCCUGCUGGACUGCAACUGACGCUGAGGCACGAAAGCGUGGGGAGCGAACAGGAUUAGAUACCCUUGUAGUU
rnacentral:rRNA from 1 species